CCUACGGGAGGCUGCAGUGAGGAAUAUUGGUCAAUGGGCGCGAGCCUGAACCAGCCAAGUAGCGUGAAGGAUGACUGCCCUACGGGUUGUAAACUUCUUUUAUAAAGGAAUACAGUGAGGCACGUGUGCCUUUUUGUAUGUACUUUAUGUAUUAGGAUCGCCUAACUCCGUGCCAGCAGCCGCGGUAAUACGGAGGAUCCGAGCGUUAUCCGGUUUUAUUGGGUUUAAAGGGAGCGUAGAUGGGUUGUUAAGUUAGUUGUGAAAGUUUGCGGCUCAACCGUAAAAUUGCAAUUGAUACUGGCAGCCUUGAGUGCAGUAGAGGUAGGCGGAAUUCGUGGUGUAGCGGUGAAAUGCGUAGAGAUAACGAAGAACUCCGAUGGCGAAGGCAGCCUACUAAACUGCCACUGACAUUGAUGCGCGAAAGUGUGGGGAUCAAACAGGAUUAGAUACCCGUGUAGUC
rnacentral:rRNA from 1 species